AUUGAACGCUGGCGGCAGGCCUAACACAUGCAAGUCGAACGAGUGGCGGACGGGUGAGUAAUUUAUGGGAAACUGCCUGAUGGAGGGGGAUAACUACUGGAAACGGUCGCUAAUACCGCAUACCAUCAACUGAGCCCAGCUGGGAUUAGCUAGUUGGUGGGGUAACGGCUCACCAAGGCGACGAUCCCUCGCUGGUCUGAGAGGCUGACCAGCAACACUGGAACUGAGACACGGCCCAUACUCCUACGGGAGGCAGCAGUGGGGAAUAUUGUAAAAGGGGCGAAAGCUUGAUGAAGCCAUGCGGCGUGUAGGAAGAAGGCCUUCGGGUUGUAAAGUACUUUAAGCGGGGAGGCGUUACCCGCAGAAGAAGCACCGGCUAACUCCGUGCCAGCAGCCGCGGUAAUAC
rnacentral:rRNA from 1 species